rnacentral:rRNA from 1 species
UACGUAGGGUGCGAGCGUUAAUCGGAAUUACUGGGCGUAAAGCGUGCGCAGGCGGUGCACCAAGCUCGAUGUGAAAGCCCCGGGCUUAACCUGGGAAUUGCAUUGAGGACUGGUGUGCUCGAGUGCGGCAGAGGGGGGUGGAAUUCCACGUGUAGCAGUGAAAUGCGUAGAGAUCUGGAGGAACACCGGUGGCGAAGGCGGCAUCCUGGACCGAUAUUGACGCUGAGGCGCGAAAGCCAGGGGAGCAAACGGG